rnacentral:rRNA from 1 species
CAGAUUGAGAGCUCUUUCUUGAUUCGGUGGGUGGUGGUGCAUGGCCGUUCUUAGUUGGUGGAGCGAUUUGUCUGGUUAAUUCCGAUAACGAACGAGACUCUAGCCUGCUAAAUAGGUGGCGGGUUUGUUUUCGCCGGUCAAACGGUGGAAAAAUUUUUGGGUUCGGCGUUCGCCGGGAUCAGGGCGGCGGGCUUUUCGUUUGCGGGGGUGUCGGCGGCGGUCCGUCGUCGGUGUCGGGGCAAUUCUUCUUCUCAGGCUCCGGCGGCGGUGUCGUCUUCGGCCUCUCGUUGCCGGGCGCUCGUCGUUCCCCGGCGGUUCGCGUCGUUCUCGCGUCCGUCACGACUCUUCUUAGAGGGACAAGCGGCGUUUAGCCGCGUGACAGUGAGCAAUAACAGGUCUGUGAUGCCCUUAGAUGUCCUGGGCCGCACGCGCGCUACACUGAAGGAAUCAGCGUGUUUUUCUCCCCCUGUCCGAAAGGACCGGGUAACCGCUG